UGCAGAGCCAGUGGGUUAAUUUUAUUUUAUCUGUAAAUACGACGACAGAAAUCCCCAAAGUUGUCUUAGUGUGCGAAAAACAUUUCACCGACGACAGUUUCCUCAACUUGGGCCAAUACAAAGCUGGCCUUGCUGAUCGUCUGAGGUUAAAGCCUGGUGCGGUACCAACUCUUUGUGGCUCAGCUACAAACCUCGGACAGGCCAGCACAUCAACUGCUUCCAUUAAGCUGCCUUUCUCAAGGGAUGUUGCCUGCCAGACAGACCACCUGGAAACACGUACUAUAGGCACACAGCUAGCCUUGAAGACUCUGCGGCCCCACUUUAGAAGUGAAGGUAUCCAGGCAAGUGUCUCCUGCAGAGAUUUUGGUGUGGGGCCCUCAAAUGCAGACCCUUUGUGCCUGUCA